AGAGUUUGAUCCUGGCUCAGAACGAACGCUGGCGGCAGGCUUAACACAUGCAAGUCGAACGAACGUAGCAAUACGUUAGUGGCGCACGGGUGAGUAACGCGUGGAUAUCUGCCUUUUGGUUCGGGAUAACCUUGGGAAACUAGGGCUAAUACCGAAUGGUUCCUACGGGAUAAAGAUUUAUCGCCAAAAGAUGAGUCCGCGUCCGAUUAGCUAGUUGGUGUGGUAAUGGCGCACCAAGGCGACGAUCGGUAGCUGGUCUGAGAGGACGAUCAGCCACACUGGGACUGAGACACGGCCCAGACUCCUACGGGAGGCAGCAGUGGGGAAUAUUGGACAAUGGGGGCAACCCUGAUCCAGCCAUGCCGCGUGAGUGAUGAAGGCCUUCGGGUUGUAAAGCUCUUUUGGCGAGGACGAUGAUGACGGUACCCGCAGAAUAAGCCCCGGCUAACUUCGUGCCAGCAGCCGCGGUAAGACGAAGGGGGCAAGCGUUGUUCGGAAUUACUGGGCGUAAAGCGAGUGUAGGUGGUUGCCAUAGUCAGGCGUGAAAGCCUCGAGCUCAACUCGAGAAAUGCGCUUGAUACUGGGCGGCUAGAGGACCGGAGAGGAUAGUGGAAUUCCCAGUGUAGUGGUGAAAUACGUAGAGAUUGGGAAGAACACCAGUGGCGAAGGCGGCUAUCUGGACGGUUUCUGACACUAAGACUCGAAAGCGUGGGGAGCAAACAGGAUUAGAUACCCUAGUAGUCC
rnacentral:rRNA from 1 species